rfam:Jatropha curcas cultivar GZQX0401 scaffold255_111, whole genome shotgun sequence.
CGGCUGUAGCUAUAUCAAUUACCAAUGAGAUGUUUUCUGGCCGGUUGUUGUAUGAGAUCUCUAUGAUAUCUCUGUUGACACAUCUGCUUACCGAGCUUCUCACAUCA